GGGGAAUAUUGGACAAUGGGCGAAAGCCUGAUCCAGCCAUGCCGCGUGUGUGAAGAAGGUCUUCGGGUUGUAAAGCUCUUUCGGACGGAAAGAAAUCGCCGCCUCUAACAUAGACGGUGGAUGACGGUACCGUAAGAAGAAGCACCGGCUAACUUCGUGCCAGCAGCCGCGGUAAUACGAAGGGUGCAAGCGUUAAUCGGAAUUACUGGGCGUAAAGCGCGCGUAGGUGGUUCGUUAAGUUGGAUGUGAAAGCCCCGGGCUCAACCUGGGAACUGCAUCCAAAACUGGCGAGCUAGAGUACGGUAGAGGGUGGUGGAAUUUCCUGUGUAGCGGUGAAAUGCGUAGAUAUAGGAAGGAACACCAGUGGCGAAGGCGACCACCUGGACUGAUACUGACACUGAGGUGCGAAAGCGUGGGGAGCAAACA
rnacentral:rRNA from 1 species